rnacentral:rRNA from 1 species
UACGGGGGGGGUAAGCGUUGUUCGGAAUUACUGGGCGUAAAGGGCUCGUAGGCGGCCAACUAACUCAUACGUGAAAUCCCUCAGCUUAACUGGGGAACUGCGUGUGAUACUGGAUGGCUUGGAUUUGGGAGAGGGAUGCGGAAUUCCAGGUGUAGCGGUGAAAUGCGUAGAUAUCUGGAGGAACACCGGUGGCGAAGGCGGCAUCCUGGACCAAUAUUGACGCUGAGGAGCGAAAGCCAGGGGAGCAAACGGG